UUAGUUUAUUUAACUAUAUUCAGAUUUAACAUGGUUAAAAGAGUUUAUUAGGGGCUACAGACGAGCGCUGGCCAGAGGUCGAAGACCCCCGGCGGUCCGGUGAAAGACGGGCCCGCCAAAGCAACAUGGUGUUUAUACAAAGGGUUGGAGAUCGAGCCUGGAAGACCCUAACUCAGUAAUGAUCCUUCCGCAGGUUCACCUACGGAAA
rnacentral:misc_RNA from 1 species